CUCUCUCUCUCUCUCUCUCUCUCUCUCUCUCUCCUUCCCUCUUUUCUCUCGUGCGAUUUCCCCUCCCCCACCGAACACUCUUGCCAAAUUCAAAUUGGCUUUCUCUUCUCCCUUUUGACUAGUCAAACUCCCAAACCCUUAUCUUCUCUUUCUCUUCUCUCUCUUAUCUCUUUUUCUCUCUCACGCUCGACGCUCUCUCUCCCUCACUGUUCGUGCAGAAGCGGAACACCGAAGACCAGAAGCUGCAGCUCGCCGCCGCUGCUCCAUCGCCGCUCAUCCCGCCGCCGCACCACACGCCCGCGCCCGCGCCCGUGCGCUCGCCGCCGUGCGCCGCCAACCGUCCCUCGCGCCAGGCGUUCCCCCGCGCGACCCAGCCGCUGCCUAGCCUCCGUCCAGCCCUGUCCGGCCACCUCCGGCCGCCGUUCAACCUCGCCGGACUUCCCCGGCAUCCCCCUCGUCCUCCGCCGGCCUCCCCUCGCCGUUUUGGCCGCCGGAGCAACCCCGGCCAGCCCCGUCCAGCAACCCACGAAAUGGGUUUCCAGCUGGUUCAGGCCCGCUUUUGGGCCGUUUCUGGGCCUCGUUCCCGAGACCCGCUUUGGAGUUUAUCGUUCCUCGCGUCGUCCCCGUCGGAUUGAUCCGAUUUGCGCGCGAUUUGGUGAGUAAUCUCACUAAUCCCGGAUUAGUUGGCUAAUUAUGCUUAAGGUUGGUUUAGUUUUAAUUAAUUAUGUUUAGGUUGUUAGAUUAGAAUAAAUUAGUAAUUAUUAGUCAAUUGUGAUGCGAUUUAGAUAAAUUGAUUGCACAAUUAACAAGUAGACGUGGUCUACUAAUUAUUAGAAGUGUCUCGGGAUUUUUCCCGACCCUUAGUGGGCUCCAAUUAGGCUUUUCGGUCCUAAGUGGAAUUUUUAGUAUUUAAAUAUUAAUUUUCGGAAUUAAAUUAAAUAAUUAUUUAUUUUUCGAAAAUUCAACUGAGAUGGUCCGGAACUGAAAUUUUAUGCUGAUAACUGUGGUGAAGUCCGUUUAUUUAAUUGAGCACCAAUUUGAGCUAAAUUGGAUUUAUUAUAAUUAAUUAUUAAUUCUCGAAAUUAAUUAAUUAAUUAAUUAAUUAUUUUCUGGAAAUUCAACUGAGAUGGCCCGUGACCGGAAAAUUAUGCUGAUGACCGUGGUGAAGUUUGUUUAUUUAAUUGGGCUUUAUUUUGUGCUAAAUUGAAUUUUUAAUAUUUAUUAAUUAAUUAUUUAUUUUUUGAAAAUUAAGUUUGAGAUGGUCGACGACCGAAAUCUCGUGCCGAUUGUUGUGGCGUAGUCCGUUUAUUUAUUUGAGCUUUGAAUGGUGCUGAAUUGAUUUAAUUAUGGAUAUUUAGGAUAUGUUCCUAAAUUGAUUAUUUGAGUAAUUUGAGUAUGAAUUAAGGUUGUGGAUAAUUACUUUAGAAAUGGGAUGAAUCAUCAUGAAAGGCACGUGGCUCGGUGAAUCGUACAUCAUCUCGGAGAAUGCACGUGGCUCGGUGAUUUGGUAUAUCACUUCGGAGAAUGCACGUGGCUCGAUGAUUAGUACGUCACCUUGGAGAAUGCACGGGGCUUGAUGAUUAGAUAUAUCACCUCGGAGAAUGCACAUGGCUCGAUGACGAAGUAUGUCGCCUUGGAGAAUGCAUGUGGCUCGGUGAUUAAGUGUGGCAUCCUAAAAGAGACACGUGGGCUCGGUAAUUUGAUGCAUUACCUCGGAGAAUGCACGUGGUCUCAAUGAGUACAUUUGGCAUUUUGAAGAGACACGUGGGCUCGGUGACUUGAUGCAUCACUUCGGAGAAUGCACGUGGGCUCCCUGAUUCAGAAUGGCAUUUUAAAAGGCACGUGGGCUCGGUAAAGUAAUGCAUUACCUUGGAGAAUGCACGUGGCUCGGUGAUUGGUUUUAUUAAUUGAGACUGAAUAGCAAUAGCUUGAAUGACCGGGAAAUGGUCAGGCCGAUAUGUAAUCGACUAGGUCGAUUGAUCAUUGCUUUGAUUUGAUGUCGUGGAUUGAUUGACUGAUUGGAAAUGACCGUGAGAGGUCUUGUUGGCAUAUAAUCGACUAGGUCAAUUUGAUCGAUACUUCUAUCUGUGAUAUGAUUGCUUAGGUGCCUAUUAUGAAUUGUACUAACUUGUAGGUGGGAUCUGAGGCCAAGGUAAGUCAUCUGCUCUGUGCGUGUUUAGGCAGCCUAUAGUAUAAUGGUUUACUAAUUGGGUUUAGUGGGGUAGAACUCGCUGAGACGUAGUCUCAUCCCAGUUUGGGGAAAACAUUUCAGGACCCCGAUGAGGAGUUGAUGAGGAGGAGUCUGAGAAGGAGAACUCGGAGGUGAAACUUAAGGAGAAAGAUUUUUGGGAGAAGAAGAUAAUCCCGAGAAGGGCCUUGAGUACGGUUUGGAUGGCUGAGAGUUUAUCUUAUUUUGAGAUCUCCUUUUUGAUGUGAUUAAAGUUUAGAGUAAAAAGUUGUGAAGUUCUCUAGUUUGUGUUUUGUAUAAAAGUUUGGUUAUAAGUUUCAAUAUGAAAAAUAUGGCCCUACUUUUCUAUCCCAUUGUUUUAUUGUCUGGGGAUUAUAACUGCUUCCGCAUGUGCUUAAUAAAUGAAAGGGUCGGCGAUACAUUGUCCUGAGAUAUCACAUUAUAAAAUCGACCAAGAGAGAAGGAUGUGUGCGUGCCCGAGGAUCGGGGCGUGACAGGUACGCUUUAAUUCCGCUGUGUUUAUUGAUUUCAGUGUUUUACAAUUAUAUAUGGAUCCAUUUUUUCUUGAUCGAUUAAUUGUUUAUGUGAAUAAUUUUCUAUAUGUGGUAUCAGAGCCUAUCAUAUAUGAUUGUAGAACCCAAUUUUAUUUUUUAAUGAAAAAAUUCGAAAUUUUCCUCUUUGAGCCGAAUAUGGGCAUUAUUUUUGUCGCGACCUAAAUUUUCGGGUGCACCACCUAAAGUUUAGGCUGAUGGAUUAUUAAGCCUAGACUUAACUCGGGCUCUCCCAAGCCCAUACCAAUUCGCGACUUAAGUUCAAGUUCUUAACAUGAAUAUAGAUUUUAUCUAGGAGUCGCCACUAAUCUAUUUUUGGUGGGUCGAUUAAAAACCCAACUAAAGUAACGGGAGUUUUACUUUACUCCUACGAACCAGAGACUAUGGGUACGCGG
rnacentral:lncRNA from 1 species